rnacentral:rRNA from 1 species
GUAGGUGGCAAGCGUUGUCCGGAAUUAUUGGGCGUAAAGCGCGCGCAGGCGGUUCUUUAAGUCUGAUGUGAAAGCCCACGGGCUCAACCGUGGAGGGUCAUUGGAAACUGGAGAACUUGAGUACAGAAGAGGAAAGCGGAAUUCCACGUGCAGCGGUGAAAUGCGUAGAGAUGUGAGGAACACCAGUGGCGAAGGCGGCUUUCUGGUCUGUAACUGACGCUGAGGCGCGAAAGCGUGGGGAGCAAACAGGAUUAGAUACCCUGGUAGUCCACGCCGUAAACGAUGAGUGCUAAGUGUUAGGGGGUUUCCGCCCCUUAGUGCUGCAGCUAACGCAUUAAGCACUCCGCCUGGGGAGUACGGCCGCAAGGCUG